rnacentral:rRNA from 1 species
GGGUCUUGACAUAGUGAGAAUCUUUCAGAGAUGAGAGAGUGCCUUCGGGAAUUCACAUACAGGUGCUGCAUGGCUGUCGUCAGCUCGUGUCGUGAGAUGUUGGGUUAAGUCCCGCAACGAGCGCAACCCUUUUCCUUAUUUGCCAGCGGGUUAAGCCGGGAACUUUAAGGAUACUGCCAGUGACAAACUGGAGGAAGGCGGGGACGACGUCAAGUCAUCAUGGCCCUUACGACCAGGGCUACACACGUGCUACAAUGGUAGGUACAGAG